AUGUGGUCGCCGACCCUACUUUCGGCGGACUCCACGUCGAGGCUGACGUCUCCGCCCCGCCGGAGGCCUUGCUCGUCAUGGAGAGCUGCGAGCACGGCAGGUUCGACGAGGCCAGUUUCUUUUGCGUCUCCUCGUCGAAGACCACGCCCAUGCCUCGCCGCGUCGCCAUCCCCAGCGGCUACAGCCUCUCCAAUGUCUGCAACGGCCUCCUCUGCUUCGCCCUCCACUCCAUCUCCGAUGUGCCGGCGUUCAUCUGCAACCCUGUCACCGGCGAGACGGCAACACUUGCCAAGGCGCCUCCCUUCGGGAUCUGGGAGCGGGACGACUGACGCCGGCCCAAAAUCUAUCAUCACUUCGCCUUGGGGUUCAGCCCUUCCACCAAGGAACACAAGCUGUUCCGCUUCUCCUCCUUGGCACCAUACGAUUGUAAUUUAG
rnacentral:rRNA from 1 species